AUUGAACGCUGGCGGAAUGCUUUACACAUGCAAGUCGAACGGCAGCACGGGGGCAACCCUGGUGGCGAGUGGCGAACGGGUGAGUAAUACAUCGGAACGUGCCCGGUCGUGGGGGAUAACGUAGCGAAAGUUACGCUAAUACCGCAUACGAUCUGAGGAUGAAAGCGGGGGACCUUCGGGCCUCGCGCGAUCGGAGCGGCCGAUGUCGGAUUAGGUAGUUGGUGGGGUAAAGGCCUACCAAGCCGACGAUCUGUAGCUGGUCUGAGAGGACGACCAGCCACACUGGGACUGAGACACGGCCCAGACUCCUACGGGAGGCAGCAGUGGGGAAUUUUGGACAAUGGGCGCAAGCCUGAUCCAGCCAUUCCGCGUGCAGGACGAAGGCCUUCGGGUUGUAAACUGCUUUUGUAUGGAACGAAAAGGCUCUGGCUAAUACCUGGGGCUCAUGACGGUACCGUAAGAAUAAGCACCGGCUAACUACGUG
rnacentral:rRNA from 1 species